GACGAACGCUGGCGGCGUGCUUAACACAUGCAAGUCGAACGAAGUGGCGAACGGGUGAGUAACGCGUAAUCAACCUGCCCUUCGGAGGGGGACAACAGUUGGAAACGACUGCUAAUACCGCAUACGGAAGGAGGGGAUGGCGUCUGAUGAGCUAGGUGGAGGGGUAACGACCCACCAAUGCGAUGAUCAGUAGCCGGUUUGAGAGAAUGAACGGCCAAAUUGGGACUGGGACACGGCCCAGACUCCUACGGGAGGCAGCAGUGGGGAAUCUUCCGCAAUGGACGAAAGUCUGACGGAGCAACGCCGCGUGAGUGAUGACGGCCUUCGGGUUGUAAAGCUCUGUUAAUCGGGACGCGGUACCGGAAUAGAAAGCCACGGCUAACUACGUGCCAGCCGCCGCGGUAAUAC
rnacentral:rRNA from 1 species